rnacentral:tRNA from 1 species
GCCCGGGUGGCGGAAUUGGUAGACGCGCUAGUUUCAGGUACUAGUGUUGGCAACGACGUGCAGGUUCGAGUCCUGUUCCGGGCA